rnacentral:rRNA from 2 species
GAAUGCUGACAUAAGUAACGAUAAAGCGGGUGAAAAGCCCGCUCGCCGGAAGACCAAGGGUUCCUGUCCAACGUUAAUCGGGGCAGGGUGAGUCGACCCCUAAGGCGAGGCCGAAAGGCGUAGUCGAUGGGAAACGGGUUAAUAUUCCCGUACUUGGUGUUACUGCGAAGGGGGGACGGAGAAGGCUAUGUUGGCCGGGCGACGGUUGUCCCGGUUUAAGCGUGUAGGCUGGUUUUCCAGGCAAAUCCGGAAAAUCAAGGCUGAGGCGUGACGACGAGGCACUACGGUGCUGAAGCAACAAAUGCCCUGCUUCCAGGAAAAGCCUCUAAGCAUCAGGUAACAUCAAAUCGUACCCCAAACCGACACAGGUGGUCAGGUAGAGAAUACCAAGGCGCUUGAGAGAACUCGGGUGAAGGAACUAGGCAAAAUGGUGCCGUAACUUCGGGAGAAGGCACGCUGACACGUAGGUGAAGUGAUUUACUCAUGGAGCUGAAGUCAGUCGAAGAUACCAGCUGGCUGCAACUGUUUAUUAAAAACACAGCACUGUGCAAACACGAAAGUGGACGUAUACGGUGUGACGCCUGCCCGGUGCCGGAAGGUUAAUUGAUGGGGUCAGCGCAAGCGAAGCUCCUGAUCGAAGCCCCGGUAAACGGCGGCCGUAACUAUAACGGUCCUAAGGUAGCGAAAUUCCUUGUCGGGUAAGUUCCGACCUGCACGAAUGGCGUAAUGAUGGCCAGGCUGUCUCCACCCGAGACUCAGUGAAAUUGAACUCGCUGUGAAGAUGCAGUGUACCCGCGGCAAGACGGAAAGACCCCGUGAACCUUUACUAUAGCUUGACACUGAACAUUGAGCCUUGAUGUGUAGGAUAGGUGGGAGGCUUUGAAGCGUGGACGCCAGUCUGCGUGGAGCCGACCUUGAAAUACCACCCUUUAAUGUUUGAUGUUCUAACGUGGACCCGUAAUCCGGGUUGCGGACAGUGUCUGGUGGGUAGUUUGACUGGGGCGGUCUCCUCCUAAAGAGUAACGGAGGAGCACGAAGGUUGGCUAAUCCUGGUCGGACAUCAGGAGGUUAGUGCAAUGGCAUAAGCCAGCUUGACUGCGAGCGUGACGGCGCGAGCAGGUGCGAAAGCAGGUCAUAGUGAUCCGGUGGUUCUGAAUGGAAGGGCCAUCGCUCAACGGAUAAAAGGUACUCCGGGGAUAACAGGCUGAUACCGCCCAAGAGUUCAUAUCGACGGCGGUGUUUGGCACCUCGAUGUCGGCUCAUCACAUCCUGGGGCUGAAGUAGGUCCCAAGGGUAUGGCUGUUCGCCAUUUAAAGUGGUACGCGAGCUGGGUUUAGAACGUCGUGAGACAGUUCGGUCCCUAUCUGCCGUGGGCGCUGGAGAACUGAGGGGGGCUGCUCCUAGUACGAGAGGACCGGAGUGGACGCAUCACUGGUGUUCGGGUUGUCAUGCCAAUGGCACUGCCCGGUAGCUAAAUGCGGAAGAGAUAAGUGCUGAAAGCAUCUAAGCACGAAACUUGCCCCGA